rnacentral:rRNA from 1 species
GAUGAACGCUGGCGGCGUGCCUAAUACAUGCAAGUCGAACGAAACUUCUUUAUCACCGAGUGCUUGCACUCACCGAUAAAGAGUUGAGUGGCGAACGGGUGAGUAACACGUGGGCAACCUGCCCAAAAGAGGGGGAUAACACUUGGAAACAGGUGCUAAUACCGCAUAACCAUAGUUACCGCAUGGUAACUAUGUAAAAGGUGGCUAGACUACCGCUUUUGGAUGGGCCCGCGGCGCGUUAGCUAGUUGGUAGGGUAAAGGCUUACCAAGGCAAUGAUGCGUAGCCGAAUUGAGAGGUGGAUGGGCCACAUUGGGACUGAGACACGGCCCAAACUCCUACGGGAGGCAGCAGUAGGGAAUCUUCCACAAUGGGCGAAAGCCUGAUGGAGCAACGCCGCGUGGGUGAAGAAGGUCUUCGGAUCGUAAAGCCCUGUUGUUAGAGAAGAAAGUGCGUGAGAGUAACUGUUCACGUUUCGACGGUACCUAACCAGAAAGCCACUGCUAACUACGUG